CGGUAUAAAAAGACGCAGAGCGACUCAGGAACCUGCCCGACGGGUAGCCUUUGGUUAAUUGUUAGGCGGAAAGGAGGGGGACGUUUGGCAUCAGCGCUCCUCUGUACGUAAAGGCGCCUGAUGCUCGGAGAGACCGAAUCGGGCUCACCGCGCGCAAACGCCCACAUCCUUAGGUCGUCUCUGCUUUCUGUAGGUGAAUGAAAGUUUCCUAGGAGGGAGACGGCAAAAAAGAUGAUAUCUGACCAGGAUGAGUCGGAAAGGUGAACUUAAAUAAGCAAAAGUACGCGUCAACCACCUGUAAAUCAAAGCGAAAUGGGCAUGCUUAGUGUGGACCGUCUGGUAACUUUGCAGAUCUUGCCUGGAUUCUUCUCCAACUGCCUGUUUUUCGUGCUGUAUGAUUCGAUAGUACUGGUAAAGCGCGUGGUGUCACUCCUGAGCUGUUCGGGCUCCACGGGUGAGUGGCAGCGCAUGUUAACCACAGCCGGCGUGCGCUCCAUAUGGGACAGCUUUCUGCUGGAUGCCUACAAACAGGUGAAGCUGGGUGAAGCUGCUCCAAACUCCAAGGUGGUGAAGGUCCCAGGCAUCAACAGACGCUGGAACCUCAGCAGUAAGACUCAUAACGAGUGUCAUCUGCUGGACUUUGAGUCUCCCAACCGCCCAUUAGUGGUCAACUUUGGCUCCGCCACUUGACCCCCCUUUAUAAGCCAGCUGCCGAUUUUCCGGCGGAUGGUGGAGGAAUUUUCGGACGUGGCAGACUUCCUGCUUGUCUACAUUGAUGAGGCUCACCCCUCAGAUGGCUGGGCAGCUCCUCCCAUGGAGAAUUUUUCGUUUGAAGUGAGGAAACACCGUAAUCUGGAGGAGAGGAUGUUUGCCGCUCGGAAACUUCUGGAGCAUUUCUCUUUGCCACCUCAGUGCCAAUUGGUGGCAGAUUGCAUGGACAAUAACGCCAAUGUAGCCUACGGUGUGGCCUACGAGCGGGUUUGCAUCGUACAGAAGAAUAAAAUUGCUUAUCUUGGGGGAAAGGGUCCAUUUUUCUACAACCUUAAAGAUGUUCGGCAUUGGCUCGAGAAGAGCUAUGGGCAGCGAUAAUUUCUUAGAAAAAGAGGUCAAAUAGCUUUUUCUGUGAAUGCUAGAAUAUUUUUAUUUUUGUAUAAUGGAGAGAAAUUGAGGGUAAGGUGCUUUUUGAACUGUUUAAAAGUAGCUCCGGUGGAAACACUUGGGCUGGGCUCCAAGUCAUUUUCUUGAAUUGUCUAAAAUGAGCAGGAGGUGUUCUACAUUUCCAACCCCUUUAAAAAGAAUAAAUAAAAAAGUAUAUAAUAAAAGAAGAAAAAAGAUUAUAGGCUCUAAAUACUGACUGUGUGGUUUGCACUUCAAUUUAAGCAAAACGAUUUGUCGAUGCACUAUUAGUAACUUGUUCCUUUGCAAUUAUUGUAGAGUUAAAGUGUGCAAUAUUUUUAUGUGUCAUAACAUAUAUUGCUUACAAAAGAAAACCAAAAUUGCUGAACAGAAAAGAAAGCACAAGUACCCAGCUUUUAUAUGAAAAGAGAGUAAUUUAUUUUUAUUGACAUUCAAUGUUUAUUUUUAAUACAAGGCCUGUUUAUGUGCUAGUAAUGCUUUCCCUUCCCCUCUUUUUGUGACAAUCGUUCGUAUUUCAUGCACCAUCAGCUUUUACACCCUGAUACACUGUUCAGUUCAUUUGCACCAGUAAUUAACGCAUUCCCAGCAUCUCAUUUCGAUAACUGCUAAUGUUAGUCAUUUGGCCUGUAUCAUACUUAAUGAUCUCAACAAUAAACCAGAAAAAUGAAUGGACUCAGCCACCGGACUUGACUUCACUGCAGUGUACAGGAAAGCUGAUGAAAAGUUAUUUUAGUCCUGAAUGUUAGAGAAAAGUUGUCAACGUUAACUGAUGGAUCGGCAGUCGCUCAUUUGGGUCAAUACGGCACUGGUGUGCACAUGAAAAUCACAGACGAAAUGGUCCCCUGUCCUGUCUGUGGUUGGAUGAGAGACCACACCUCUCCGUCCUGAUCCAAAUAAGCGUGACUGCUAACAUGCUGAAACAAUCACUCUGAAUCUGAAUCACUUUGAAGACUUUGUUUUGUUUCACAGAACUUUUCUCAUGUACUACAACCAUCCUCUUCCUUUUAAUGAGAAAAAGACAAGAAAAAAAUAAAGUUGAACUGCUGCUGACUAUGAAUCCCCCCCCCCAUUUUUGUGUUUGAUUCUGGGAAAUUUCAAUGAAGGGUGAUUGGCUUGAAAAAGGGAGGGGAAAAGUUCAGCGGAAAACUCCAGAUGGAGGAAACGUUGCAUGAUGACAAAUUAGUAAAAAAAAGAAAAAGGAAAAAAAGGAAAUGCACCAGUCUUAAGGGGUCGUGGAGUACAUGUGUUUUUUUCCCCCAUUAAAUGUGUGUUUGCAGAAAUGCAUAGUGAUAGCUCUGAACAUGUGCAACACAAUGAAACCGUGUGACGCAGAGGUCUCUGGCUGAACUUCUACGUUUUCCAGGCUGGCAAUAACUAAAUAGCAAAGGCUCAGGGAGAACAUGUCCCUGGGAAACACCAUGAAACAGAACCCCUUGUUGUGGCCGGGCAUCGCUUAUCCGAGCGGAACUAGUCCAUUUGGACUUCUAAGAUGUUAUUCACACACUGUCUCAGUCUUGGAAGGCACCGUCCUGCACGAUGGAGCAGGGAGGUUGCCAACAUUAAAGAUGGAGGCAUCAAAAAAGAGAGCCACACAACAGCAACAAACACAUGCCCCACUCCAGGAAAGAGUCCCAUGGUGUGCUUUUUAAGGAAUGUGUCUGGUAAACAGUUACUGAACAGAAUUCUAAGCAGCGUGUGAAGAAGUGUUCUCAUUUAUUGGGCAUAACAAGGACGCCGGACCAAGGGGGGAAAAACCUGGUCCCAUUUAUUCAGAUAAGGUCAAAAUGUGAUGCCUUAGAAUGUGGACGAUUGGCAAAUCGGCCAGUAUAAAUUCAAUUGAAAUGUUGACGCAAGCUUUUAAAUGUACAGUAUGUGUCUGCUGUUCAAAGAUAAGCCAUUUAUGUUCAUUCUUCAAAAGUGGACUAUUUGCUUUGGAUGUGAUCUGGCUGCUUUCUAUGAAAAAUUAUCUUAGGCCUAAUAUCAAUAUAUUCAGUAAAUCAAAUGAGUUCAACCAGAGGGAUGCCAACUAUUUUAUUCAUUUUUAAUUCAUU